rnacentral:misc_RNA from 1 species
GUUUAUCGCGUGUUGUUCGUGGCCUUCGGGCCUCGUCUGACGGACGAUCGGAUUACCGUUGCCUGACCGCGCGGUAUCGGAUCCAAUCUCGAGAAGCUGGUCUUAAGACCUGACACAAGCGAGCUGCUCGGCGUAGCUCCAAUAAAGUGAUCAGGUCGAACACGUCGAUGGCAUUGUUAGAAAGCGUGAUUGUAAAAGGUAAUCACGCAUGUUUGGCCGACCGCACGGCAAUCGCAAGGUUGUCCGGAUGGUCGGAUUUGGCACCCCGCGAGGCGAAAGCGAAGCGGACAAGGUCUGCCAAAUCAAACAAAGACGAUGAGCAUUGGCAAUGAGAACGAUUAAGUGUCGUAAGGGCAUUUGGUGGAUGCCUUGGCAUGCACAGGCGAUGAAGGACGUGAUACGCUGCGAAAAGCCGU